rnacentral:piRNA from 1 species
UGAGCCACAUGAGGGACAAAUGGGAA